rnacentral:rRNA from 1 species
GUUAGAGGAUCGAAGGCGAUCAGAUACCGCCCUAGUUUUACACGGUAAACUAUACCAGCCAGCGAUCCGGCUGUGUUCUUUAACUGACACGCCGGGAAGCUUCCGGGAAACCAAAGCUUUUGGGUUCCGGGGGAAGUAUGGUUGCAAGACUUAAACUUAAAGGAAUUGACGGAAGGGCACCACAAGCCAUGGAGCAUGCGGUUCAAUUUGACUCAACACGGGUAAUCUUACCCAGCCCGGACACAGGAAGGAUUGACAGAUUAAGAGCUCUUUCUUGAUUCUGUGAGUGGUGGUGCAUGGCCGUUCUUAGUUGGUGGAGUGAUUUGUCUGCUUUAUUGCGAUAACGAACGAGACUCUAGCCUAGUAAGUAGACGUUCCGAUUUAAUAGUCGGACAUUCUUCUUAGAGGGACAGGCGGCGACUAGCCGCACGAGACAGAGCAAUAACAGGUCUGUGAUGCCCUCAGAUGUCCGGGGCCACACGCGCGCUACAUUGAAGGAAUCAGCGAGUGCUUUCCCGGGCCGACAGGACCGGGUAACCCGUUGAACCCCCUUCGUGCUGGGGAUAGGGGCUUGCAAUUGUUCCCCUUAAACUAGGAAUGCCUAGUAAGCGCAUGUCAUCAGCUUGUGUUGAUUAGGUCCCUGCCCUUUGUACACACCGCCCGUCGCUACAAGCGAUGAACGGUUUAGUGAGGUCUUCGGACUGGCGCGCGCGCUGACCCGGCGUUGGGACCAGCCGACGUGCCGGAAAGAUGACCAAACUUGAUCGUUUAGAGCAUGUAAAAGUCGUAACAAG